rfam:Papio anubis isolate 1X1155 chromosome 6, whole genome shotgun sequence.
AUUUACGGCCAUACCACCCUGAACAUGCUCGACCUCAUCUGAUCUCAGAUGCUAAGCAGGGUUAGGCCUGGUAAGUACUUGGGUGGGAGUCAUGCCUUAAUUC